rnacentral:rRNA from 1 species
GGUGAACGCUAGCGGCAGGCUUAAUACAUGCAAGUUGAGGGGCAGCAUGAUAUACGCGAGUAUAUUGAUGGCGACCGGCGGACGGGUGAGUAAUAGGUAGGAGACCUACCUCAUACAGGGGGAUAGCAUAGAGAAAUCUGUGGUAAUACCCCAUGAGGUUAUAUGAAUAGAGGCAUAUAAUCAAAGCAUAAGCGAUUAUGCGGUAUGAGAGGGGCCUACUGACCAUUAGCUAGUUGGUGAGGUAAGGGCUCACCAAGGCGAAGAUGGUUAGGGGUUUUGAGAGAGAGACCCCCCACAUUGGAACUGAGACACGGCCCAGACUCCUACGGGAGGCAGCAGUGGGGAAUAUUGCGCAAUGGGCGGAAGCCUGACGCAGCGACGCCGCGUGAGGGAUGACGGCCUUCGGGUUGUAAACCUCUUUCAGCAGGGACGAAUGUAGACGGUACCUGUAGAAGAAGCACCGGCCAACUACGUGCCAGCAGCCGAC